rnacentral:lncRNA from 1 species
CGUUGUGCUAGAGGUUUUGAAGAGUCAGACUUUGGCCUCAAGUCUCCUGCCUGAGAGCUGUGUAAACCUAGAGCCUUGUCUCACAGAUCCCCUGUUCCCACAGCAGUUAAAGUGGAGAUGACAGAGUCCCUCCUGGAGAGCCGGUAUAGCCAUUCAGUGAGUCAGCAGCACAUCUCCUCCAGCACGCAGAGAACAGCGGUCCAUGGAGGGAGGGCGUGAGCCUGGGGUUAUACUGAGGAAGGGUAGUGGGCUUUUCAGUUCCUGAAGCUGCUGCUCUGCCUACUCAGGAAGGUGAGGAAGGCAGAUGGCAGCGUACUUCCAGCCUCUGCUCUGCCAGGGUCGUUGAUGCCCUUUGGAAUGGAGAGCUGUGAAGGGGAAUGCCUAGGCCUCACGGAGGAGGCUCGUGACCUGGACAGGUGUGGGACUGGGGGCCAUGUCUGCAGCUCCCCUGCCACGGAGCAGAAUCUGCCUCUCCAUAAGCGUAAGCUCUGGGGACUGUGACAUCCACGCUGGGCCUGGCUCCUGCCUCCCGCCUCCUGCCCAGCCCCUGCCAGCCGCACAUGGUGGAGACCGG